GAUGAAGAACGCAGCGAAAUGCGAUAAGUAAUGCGAAUUGCAGAAUUCAGUGAGUCAUCGAAUCUUUGAACGCACAUUGCGCCCUGUGGUAUUCCGCAGGGCAUGCCUGUUCGUGCGUCAUUUCAACCCUCAAGCUCUGCUUGGUGUUGGGCCCUGCCCGCUGCGGCCGGCCCUAAAGACAGUGGCGGUGCCGCCUGGCCCUGAGCGUAGUACAUCUCUCGCUCCAGUGCCCGGUGGUAGCCUGCCAGAACCCCAACUCUCGUGGUUGACCUCGGAUCAGGUAGGGAUACCCGCUGAACUUAAGCAUAUCAAUAAGCGGAGGA
rnacentral:misc_RNA from 1 species